rnacentral:rRNA from 1 species
CCCUUAGAUGUUCUGGGCUGCACGCGCGCUACACUGACAUACUCAGCAAGUUUCCUUUCCCGAAAGGGUUGGGUAAUCUUGUUAGUGUAUGUCGUGAUGGGGAUAGAAUAUUGUAAUUAUUGCUCUUUAACGAGGAAUUCCUAGUAAGCGCAAGUCAACAGCUUGCGCUGAUUACGUCCCUGCCCUUUGUACACACCGCCCGUCGCUCCUACCGAUUGGGUGAUCCGGUGAAUGGUUCGGACUCUGGCUAUGCUAGCUACUAGCUACGUCAGGGAAAGUUCUGUGAACCUUACCACUUGGAGGAAGGAGAAGUCGUANCA